UUUUUUUUUUUUUUGUUAUUUAUUGUACAGUUUAGAUAUGGCUAAUUGGUCUUCUAAAUUUCUUUUAUCAUACCUUCUAAAAACUGUCUGUUAUCAUCUAGUCGGUUAUGAUUUAUUGGAUCAUGAAAAACAUACGAAAUACCUGCAAUACUAUUACAAACUUGCAUUCUAGCAUGCAUAUAUAAGAAACAAAUGUAGAUUGGGUCAAAGAGUCACGGCAGUUGGAAGUGUUUUUUUAGUAUUGUCAAAUAAACUACUGACUUUAAUUACAUUAAUUGAAGAACGGAGGUACAUCAUGAAAAGUAUUUAAGAAACAACUAACGAAAAAUUAUAUGUAUCUCAGACUGUUAUAUCUCUUUAAAAAAGCUAUAGGUACCAUUUGUCUAAUUUGUUCUUCAAAUAGCUCAUUUCUUUCCUACAAAUAAAAGAAAUAUUUGAUAUGUAUUUUGGCAGCAAUCCAACAUCAUGCGUUUUCUUAUAAAUAUGAGAAUCAUGCCAUAUCAAACAGUAAACCUGUAAGGAAAUGACAGUUGGUUCAUUAUAUAUCAGUAAAAAGGGUUUGCAACGAAGCUGUAAUGCAUUUCCAUCACUCUGGCGUUUAUCGAGAAUAAAUUUUGAAAUAAAAUGACAUAACAGUAAUGAGAAAAGAAUCACACGCCUUAUUGUUUAUUAACGUCGAGUACGCUGAUACACGGUCCUGUUAAUUGUCAUUUGGCCUGUUUGCUUUUUAUAUAUCUAUAACACAGAUAUAAUACAUCUAUAAUACCACUAGUGCUUUCCUGGAUUGAUUUUGAAUUUGACUUUUUUAAUUUCCUUUGUUAUUCACAUAAUGUAAACAUGGAGAAUUUAAAUGUAUAAUCAGAACUGUUCAUGUGACCGUUGUGUG
rnacentral:lncRNA from 1 species